UACGAGGGGUGCAAGCGUUGCUCGGAAUUAUUGGGCGUAAAGGGUAGGUAGGUGGUCUCAUUUGUCUGGGGUGAAAGCCUCGAGCUUAACUCGAGAAGUGCCCCGGAAACGGUGAGACUAGAGUACUGGAGAGGGUCGUGGAAUUCCCGGUGUAGCGGUGAAAUGCGCAGAUAUCAGGAGGAACACCGGUGGCGAAGGCGGGUCUCUGGGCCGAUACUGACGCUGAGGAGCGAAAGCGUGGGGAGCGAACAGG
rnacentral:rRNA from 1 species